GGGGGAUAUUGCACAAUGGAGGAAACUCUGAUGCAGCGACGCCGCGUGAGCGAAGAAGGUCUUCGGAUCGUAAAGCUCUGUCCUAAGGAAAGAUAGUGACGGUACCUUAGGAGGAAGCCCCGGCUAACUACGUGCCAGCAGCCGCGGUAAUACGUAGGGGGCGAGCGUUAUCCGGAAUUAUUGGGCGUAAAGGGUUCGCAGGCGGCCUUGUAAGUCAGAUGUGAAAGACAGCGGCUUAACCGUUGUAAGCAUUUGAAACUGCAGGGCUUGAGUACAGGAGAGGAAAGCGGAAUUCCUAGUGUAGCGGUGAAAUGCGUAGAUAUUAGGAGGAACACCAGUGGCGAAGGCGGCUUUCUGGACUGAUACUGACGCUGAGGAACGAAAGCGUGGGGAGCAAAC
rnacentral:rRNA from 1 species